rnacentral:rRNA from 1 species
UCGAACGGUAACAGGGAUUAGCUUGCUAAUUUGCUGACGAGUGGCGGACGGGUGAGUAAUGCUUGGGAAUCUGGCUCAUGGAGGGGGAUAACUACGGGAAACUGUAGCUAAUACCGCGUAAUAUCUUAGGAUUAAAGUGUGGGACCGCAAGGCCACAUGCCAUGAGAUGAGCCCAAGUGGGAUUAGGUAGUUGGUGGGGUAAAGGCCUACCAAGCCGACGAUCUCUAGCUGGUCUGAGAGGAUGAUCAGCCACACUGGAACUGAGACACGGUCCAGACUCCUACGGGAGGCAGCAGUGGGGAAUAUUGCACAAUGGGGGGGACCCUGAUGCAGCCA